rnacentral:misc_RNA from 1 species
GGUUUUAUAGUGUAAUUGGUUAGCACCCA